rnacentral:rRNA from 1 species
AGUUGUGUAGUGCGAUCGGUGGAUGCCUUGGCACCAAGAGCCGAUGAAGGACGUUGUAACCUGCGAUAAGCCCCGGGGAGCUGGUAAACGAGCUUCGAUCCGGGGAUCUCCGAAUAGGGAAACCUCGAAAGAGACCGGAGUAAUGUCCGGCGACCUCUGCCUGAACACAUAGGGCAGUUGGAGGGAACGUGGGGAAGUGAAAAAUCUCA